rnacentral:rRNA from 1 species
UACGUAGGGUGCGAGCGUUAAUCGGAAUUACUGGGCGUAAAGCGUGCGCAGGCGGUUUUGUAAGUCUGUCGUGAAAGCCCCGGGCUCAACCUGGGAAUUGCGAUGGAGACUGCAAGGCUUGAAUCUGGCAGAGGGGGGUAGAAUUCCACGUGUAGCAGUGAAAUGCGUAGAGAUGUGGAGGGACACCGAUGGCGAAGGCAGCCCCCUGGGUCAAGAUUGACGCUCAUGCACGAAAGCGUGGGGAGCAAACAGG